CUGACAAAGAAUAGCUCUGUGCUUAAGGCAUUUAAAAUAUGUCAUAUUGCAAAUUCUUUCUAAUGUGGUUUAUGAAUUGGCCACAGUGAUAAUUCAGUUAUUCAGUGCUUCAUGCAGCAGUGCACAAAACAGUUUCUGCUUGACAGGUUUUGAAGUUCUUUCAAUUCAGAAAUGACUGUUUUAGACGGUAUUUGUUUACAUUUUUGGAAUUUGGUGUUGCUGAUUUGACCACAACAAUAAUAAUUACUGUUAUUAUUAUUUUUGCUCUUUACAAUUAGAUAUAUAACCUUGAUAGUGAAGAAAUGUUCAUCAGAUCUCAGUCACGUUUUGUAACCUUCCCAUUCCAGCCCCUGUACACAGUGUUGCACUGUUUACUGCAAAGUAGAUUAUUUGUUUUGUUAUUAAUCCUCUACAGAAAAAUGGGGUAAAAAUGAAUCACACAUAGAUCUAAGUGUAUAAAAUCACUCUUGCAACAUUUGACAGAAAUCUAAUGUGACGUUGUAGCUCAAAUUUGCCAAAUAUUUUGUGGUGGCAUUACAUUUCUCGGCCCUUCCCAUCUUUAAGAUGUCACAUUUUCCACAUGUUUUUAACUACAGCUGGCAGUGAAUGAUGCAUACUUGUUGUAAUUUCCAACCACAAUGCUAGACUCAGACUCACUGUUGAUGCUUUUCUAAAGUAAUCAUUAUCAACAUGGUGAAUUACUGCAGCUCUGUCCUCACAGUUACAGGUGUGAGACACCUGGGUCUGUUGUAGUAUUAGUCUUUUGUAGUCUUGGCCAUCAUUUCUAUGAAAAAGAAAGAAGUAGCUGUUCGCUCACUGCAGAACUCCAGAUUCCUCAUUUAUUACAUCUAGGGAUAUUUCAAGCACACCUGCUUUUCAUCAGACGGCGACACACCAGGCAGUGCCAUCUGAAAUCAGCUGCGAACAGUCACGUGACCACGGCAAAUUGCAAAUGCAUCCAGUCAACAACCUUGUACAGGACAAAGAAUUGAUAAGUGAAUAAUUUGCUGAAUAAAACCAGCAGAUUAGAGAGAGAGAGAUUAUUAAAUCCCAGCUGUGUGUACUUUGAGUUUGACCUCAUGUGAAGUCGAUGAAAUAGUCUGGAUACGCUUCUGGCUUGUUUGUAGUCUAGUGAUGGAAAUGGUCAGUAAAGCAUCAUUUUAGCUUCCAUUAAAGAUGGCAAAGCUAAAAAUCAACUUGUAUAAACCAGGAUCUGAUCAGCACAGACGGGUGAACUUGAACCAGCCUGUCUCAAACUUUAUUCAAAGUAAAUGAAUAUGUGGAAAACUUGUGGAAGCGUUGAUGUUUUCUCAGAAAGACAGAAAUUCUGCACAGGUGCUGCUGCCAGCUAAUUACACUGCAAGAUGUGUUUCCAUUGCUCUGGUUAAGUUUCCAUCAGAUGUGGCCGCGUGUGUUGAAGCCUGAUGUUGGUGGAUCAGGGCCAGAGUGCACACUGUGGUGUCUGCUUUAGUUAACAGGCCAGAGAGAGACCACAGAGACAUUUAAGUCAUCAAGCUGAGGAUUUUCCACCCACUGUCACUCUGUUAAUGUCAGUUCACUUGUUCUGUUGUGUGAAAAUUACAUGCAGCACAGGCCACGCUCACAGAGCCUGUUUGGCUGGCAGCUCUUCCACUUGAAGGUCAGACAGACACACUAACACUGCUUCAUGUUAAAACACACAGCUCCUGCUAUGUUUACAGCUAGCAUUAAAACUACUCUGCCCUCUGAGGAGGAUGAAAUCUGAGAUUUUUGGAAACUAGCCAGUUUGGUUUGAAAAGUUCAGGAUUGUGCAGGAUCGCAGGCUGUGACAGUCAGAGGGUCGUAU
ensembl:lncRNA